GACCAGGGAGCUAGGGGCUAGAAAUAAGAAUUCGGGUCGGGGUAUUGGAAUGGGAGGGAGAGGAAUUUGACCUGAUCCUGAGUAGGAGGGGAGUGCGAGGCAGCUGCGGCGCAGCGGCAGUCCAAUUCCAGUUGCAAAAAUUAAAUUGUAGCAGUAAAAAGAUAGAAGUUGAAUUGUGUUUUGUGUUUUCCGUUGCGCAGGGCGUUUCGGGCUUCGUUUCGUCUUUUCCCGGAUGUUUACUUUGAGAAAAUUAGAGUGCUCAAAGCAGGCUUUGCCUUGAAUAGUUUAGCAUGGAAUAAUAAAGUAGGACUUUGGUUCUAUUUUGUUGGUUAGGACAAG
rnacentral:rRNA from 1 species